rnacentral:rRNA from 1 species
UCAGCUUUCGACGGUAAGGUAUUGGCUUACCGUGGCAGUGACGGUUAACGGGGAAUUAGGGUUCAAUUCCGGAGAGGGAGCCUGAGAAACGGCUACCACAUCUAAGGAAGGCAGCAGGCGCGCAAAUUACCCAAUUCUAACAGCAUAAGAGAGGUAGUGACAAGAAAUAACAGUACAAGGCAGUUAAAAUGCUUUGUAAUUGGAAUGAUAGAAAUUUAAAUACUUUUUAAAGUAUCAAUUGGAGGGCAAGUCUGGUGCCAGCAGCCGCGGUAAUUCCAGCUCCAAUAGCGUAUAUUAAAAUUGUUGCAGUUAAAAAGCUCGUAGUUGAAUUUUUGCUAAAAAUAACCGGUCUGCUAUUAUUACUAAAAGUGGUAUCUUGGUGUGUUUUUAGCAAUAAUAUCCUUUGAAAUGUUUUUUACUUUAAUGUAAAGAGCAAUUUUCAGGAUUUUUACUUUGAGAAAAUUAGAGUGUUUCAAGCAGGCUAACGUUUUGAAUAC